CUCUAUAAAUGGCCCUUGGCCGGCCACCUCCACUCCUCUUGCUCUCAUUUUUCUUCUCUCCACUCACUCCUCCACCUUAUCUACUCCCUCACACUCUUCUCCUACUCUCCCCCACGAAAAUGCAGCUCCACCUAGCUCCCAUGGCCGGCCAUGGCCAUGGAAAGAACUCCAAGAUGAAGCUCCCUCCUCCCUCAAGCUCCUCCUCACCAUGAGAGCCUCCCUCUCCUUCUUCUCCCCAACCCUAGAUGGUUUUCUCUCCUCUUCCUCUUCCUCCAUUGCUAAGAUUGGAUCUUGAUGCAGGUGCAUGUUGGUCCAAGCAUGGAGAAGCUUGAGCUAUCCUCAGAUCUGAAGUUCUUGAGCAAAAUCCAAAUCGAGUGAUUCAAAGUUCCGCAGAUAGGUAUUGAAAAGAUCUACAACUUGACGUUGGUCUCAUCCUCAAAUUCGUUACGGAUUUUGCAUGGUAAAUAAAGUUCUGCAAACAUGCAGAAUCACUGUUUGUGAGAUUUCUUCCGUUUUACAAAACCUUUUUGAGCAAACUCAACUGCGGUUGAAAGCCCUCUCCCGUACCUUCAUUUUGGCGGUGGUUUCACUUCGAUUGACCUCCUGAAAAUGAAAUGGUUUGCAGAUCAAGAUCUGGUCAGAUCUGACUUUGUCGAAUUAAAUCAGGAGCUUGGAAACUAAUUUUUGAAUGAAACCAACUGGGGGAUACUUAGUUGUGCCAUGGUGAUACCUAGAGAGGCAAUUGCUAAGUCGUGGCACUCUCACACCUUUACUAGAUGCGAACAAUUCCGGAGAAGAAGAAGAAGUGGAAUUGGACAAGGAUUUUAUUUAUAUUGUUGGGAUUCUUAUAUUGAUAGAGUUGAAGAAGUACAGGGACAAAUAAGCCAAGGCAAGCCAUCUUUUGAUCUCUGAUCCGGUGUCUAGUUGGAUGUCAUUUGUUGAUGUUCAAAGCACCUUCAUUCUAUGUGUGUUAUUAUCUCUAUUUAUGUCA